UGGGGAAUAUUGGACAAUGGGCGCAAGCCUGAUCCAGCCAUGCCGCGUGAGUGAUGAAGGCCCUAGGGUUGUAAAGCUCUUUCACCGGUGAAGAUAAUGACGGUAACCGGAGAAGAAGCCCCGGCUAACUUCGUGCCAGCAGCCGCGGUAAUACGAAGGGGGCUAGCGUUGUUCGGAUUUACUGGGCGUAAAGCGCACGUAGGCGGACUUUUAAGUCAGGGGUGAGAUCCCGGGGCUCAACCCCGGAACUGCCUUUGAUACUGGAAGUCUUGAGUAUGGUAGAGGUGAGUGGAAUUCCGAGUGUAGAGGUGAAAUUCGUAGAUAUUCGGAGGAACACCAGUGGCGAAGGCGGCUCACAGGACCAUUACUGACGCUGAGGUGCGAAAGCGUGGGGAGCAAACAGG
rnacentral:rRNA from 1 species